GGAGUGACAUAAUGGUCAAUGAAGUUCGGAUGAAUUAUGAAAUCAAAGGUUCAAAUUGCACUAUGUUUAGAAACACGUUUUUGUAGCAAACAAAAGUAAACACAUUUCCGCAUGCUCUACUAUGACCUAGAAGGAUUAAUUGCAUAAAGAGCUAGUCUAGAAGAAAGUUGCAAAUAAAUAAAACUGGAAAACAUUAUCCUCUGCACAAAACACACCCUUGAUUGGCAAUUUUUUGCUCUAAGUUGGAGUUCAUAACUUUCACAUUGCUUGGCCCUCGUACAUUGGUUGAGGCAAUUGGGAACUAGAGGUCGCAUUUGUAACUGGAGGUCCAAAAUUCAGAAAAUUGGGGGUGGAGUUGAAGAUGGAGCCUUCGACUCAGGUUUUUCCACGUACGGACUGAAGCAUCUCAAAGCCACCUAGAAAUGAACAUUAAACUAUUAGCAAGUUCAUGAUAUGCACUCAAACAUCAGAGCAAGAACAACCAAUGAUUUUUUCCAGUGACAACAUGUACUCAAAUAUUAGGGCAAGAGCAGCUCAACGCUUUGGCCUAGUGAUAAAGGGCAGCAUGUGCUAUGCAAGUUACACACUAGUCUAUUCAAAUGAAAAAGGAAAAACUAUGAACCCAUGAACAGAGGUAGUUAGAAUAGCACAUGUACCGGAGUGACAGCCUUGAGCUUUCCUGCAAGAACAACACCGUAAUCACUACCAUCUGGACUAGUCACUGAUAGGUUAAGAAAACCUAUUACGCCACUUUUUAAUCGCAUAAAAGACCCUGAUAACGAGAUGAUAUCGAAUUGACCCUGCAUAGAAGAAUGACAUCAUUAUAAAUGAGCAAUUCCACAACUAUCCAAAUAAGUCCAGUAAUUAAAGUUAUCCAAAGCAAUAGCCUUUCUGCAUAAGCUUCCGGACAUGCCUCAACACAAAGGCAACUGAAAGGGUAAAUGCCUUUGAGCUAAAACCCAUAC
rnacentral:lncRNA from 1 species